UAAAGAGAAAAAUUAGUUUAAUUUUUACAGUAUUUUUUUCAACAUUUUUAAAUUACCAACCAUUGAAUUUUUUACCUAUCGAUAAUACAUUGAUAACGGCUUUGCAGUUUUCUACAUUAUCGUUACAUCAAGACAAUUUUAGUUAUAUCAAAUUCCACUAGGGGAUAUUCAUAAGAUCGAAAAGAAAUUCUUUUUUUAAUGUUAAUUUAGUCAAAGUUAAAAUAGAGGAGCAUUUUAUUUCUGUUUUUUUUUUUUUCUUUUAGAUUUUAAUAAUAUUAUUAUUGAUAUAAGAAAUUGAUUUAAGUUUUCAUUAUCAUAUAUAUAUAUAUAUAUACACACACACAUACACAUAUAUAUAAAUGUAGUAUACAUAGAGGUUAUUUAAAAACUGGUUGAGAACCAAGAAGAACGGUUAACCUCUUUUAUUUAAUCGAAAGUCAAAGGGUAACUAGGUGCACAUUUUGUGGUCCAAGUUUGCUCUUCUCUCGAGUGGACAAUGGUCGUUUGGUGGGUCAUAGAAAAAAAAAAACUUCAAAAAGAGAAAAGGAAGAAAGAAAAGGGAGACAGAAUCCCCUUCUGAUGAUGGACCAGUUUUCUGUUGCAGGAAAUGACUCUAAGAACGGAGGAUGGUAGAAUAUAUAUAUUCUACCAUUCUAUAUAUACAUAUAUAUAGGUGUCAAAGGUUAACUGGAUUCAUUUGGAGACCAUAGGCUUGCGUAUAAUAUAGUAUGGGCGCACAGCAUCACCCUUUAUUCCGGAUGGACCAGUUUUUCAACGGGGACGUUCCUAUAGGAGAAUUUUCAACGGGAUUCUGAGGCCCGGGCCAGGACCUCGGCACGCGAACUAACAGGUUUCCACGAGAGUUCCUGAAUCUGUCGACGACGAAAAAUAGAUCGUGAUCCAGAUCAGGUGAAAACUGGUCCACUCUUAGUAACCUCUUUCAUAUCUUUUAAAUUGAUAUAAAGGAUGGCAUUUAACGAGUAAAAAAAAAACGACAAGAAAAUUUGGUUCUGAAGAAGUAAGGAAAGAAGGUAGGAAAGGAAGAGAAAAAAGAAAGUAAAAAGAAGAAAGAAAAUAAGAAAGAAAAGAAAAGAAGAGAAAAGAAAAGAAAAAAAAGAAAAGAAAUAAAAAGGAUCCUGAACGUUCAAUCAAAAGGAUGGGAAACAAAGGCCGUUGACAUGUGUGUCACAUGAUACGCUGAGACCAGCCCACAUUGGCCACUUCUUUUACCUGUCCAUCACUCGGUUGCUUUUCUAAAGAUGAGAAGUCUCGCUUGAAAGAGGACAUUUGCGUCCGUACGCGAGUUAUUGUGCACCUUUAUCGUUCCUUUCGGGAAACAUUAUCGAAGGAAGAUGAUACUUUUAUCGUUACUCAUCAUAAAAUAAGAGAUAUCUUCUUUUUGCGCUUUUUAAAUCGUCGAUCGUCGGUCCCGUCGUCGACAGCUGCGAAAUCUUUCCGCUUGAUAAUAGCUAUCAGUUUCUCAUCUAAAGUAUCUACUGGGCGAUCAAUCCCAGAUAUCGAUAAUAUUUAUUUAAAAGUAAGGAACCACCGGAGAUGCGAUAAAAUUGGAAAUUUUCUACUCUUUCCGUCCACGGGAAUAGAGGGGUGUUAAAUUCUCUGUGAGAUUCGAUUGGCCAAUGCUUUGGCGGUGGGCAUACAUUUCCCGUCCGGAAGAAACGAUCAUUUUGAAAAAGCCACCAGGUGACGAGAGAUUCGAUCGGUUUCGCUUUUCAUACAGGAAAUUAGAAGACGCGUCAUCUGGUUCUGGUCUAGUAAGAGUAGCAACCCUUUACUCGAACGGGGUAGCUUCGCAGCGGGGCCCUAUCACACCUCUUCGAGACGUAGAUUCUUCAUAUAUGAGCCCAGUUACGUUUCGGGCUUGCUUAAGGAAAGAUCGUGAUUGUGCUUGAUCUCGAUGAAAAUCGAUAGUACAAAUUGUUAUCGUGUAUUCGUCGAUUUAAUCGAAUGUAAUCGAAGACGAAGAUCAAUCGAAGUUUGUAAUAAAAGAUUUCACGUUCGCAUGGAGUUUUGACACGUCUAUAUCGGGACGGAAUUUUUCCAAAGAAAUAAACGAAAUACAGAAUUAAAAAUAUUUUCAAAAAGGAAUUUAUUAUCAGAAGUCCGAUCGACGAUCACUUUUGUAAAAGAAAAUGUAUAUUCGAUUCUAAUUUAUAAUCUGAAUUCCAAUGCAUUGAAAUGCACCAUAACAAGAGGACGUAUGAAUGAUUAUAGUUAACAAAUAAAUAAACGUGAAAGCCUUGUCGUAUUCCUCUCCAGCUACGUCAUCCAAGCCAUCCU